rnacentral:pre_miRNA from 1 species
AAGAAGAUCGUUUUUCAGUUUUUUGAUACAAUGUUUUGACUCUUUGUCUUAUUUGGAUUUUUUUUGCGAUUAAUAUUUUUAUUCUUGCUAGAGGAUAAAACAUGAAUAGUACUUUAUGCGUGACUAAUUUUUUUAAGUUUUUUAUAAAUUUUUCAAAUAAGACAAAUGAUCAAACGUUCGGCACGAAAAACGAAAAAUAAAGUUAUU